rnacentral:rRNA from 1 species
AUUGAACGCUGGCGGCAUGCCUUACACAUGCAAGUCGAACGGUAACGGGCCUUCGGGUGCCGACGAGUGGCGCACGGGUGAGUAAUACAUCGGAACGUGCCCGAUCGUGGGGGAUAACGAGGCGAAAGCUUUGCUAAUACCGCAUACGAUCUACGGAUGAAAGCAGGGGACCGCAAGGCCUUGCGCGGACGGAGCGGCCGAUGGCAGAUUAGGUAGUUGGUGGGAUAAAAGCUUACCAAGCCGACGAUCUGUAGCUGGUCUGAGAGGGUGAUCAGCCACACUGGGACUGAGACACGGCCCAGACUCCUACGGGAGGCAGCAGUGGGGAAUUUUGGACAAUGGGCGCAAGCCUGAUCCAGCCAUGCCGCGUGCAGGAUGAAGGCCUUCGGGUUGUAAACUGCUUUUGUACGGAACGAAAAGCCUUCUUUUAAUACAGGAGGGUCAUGACGGUACCGUAAGAAUAAGCACCGGCUAACUACGUG